rnacentral:sRNA from 1 species
GCAGGUUAGAGCCUGGCAAUGCCGUUUGGGUGUGUGACUCUGGGCGACAAGAAGAACUAUAACCAGCCAUCGGAGGUGACUGACAGAUAUGAUUUGGGACAGGUCAUCAAGACUGAGGAGUUCUGUGAAAUCUUCCGGGCCAAGGACAAGACGACAGGCAAGCUGCACACCUGCAAGAAGUUCCAGAAGCGGGACGGCCGCAAGGUGCGGAAAGCUGCCAAGAACGAGAUAGGCAUCCUCAAGAUGGUGAAGCAUCCCAACAUCCUACAGCUGGUGGAUGUGUUUGUGACCCGCAAGGAGUACUUUAUCUUCCUGGAGCUGUGAGUGUGGGUCUGGGGACCCAAGAUUCCCCAGCGCCCAGGGCUUUCACCUGUCCCACCCUCUGCAGCUAAGGAAACCCCCUUUCUGGACCCUUGGCGUCCCAGGUCCCUGUGCCUUGCUCAGCCAGCUGCCUGGCGUAGGCAGCUCACCCAAGUGCUCCUGCCCUACCCCUGAUUCUGCCCACGCCAGGCUCAGGGGCUGGUGUCCCUCAGGGCCACGGGGAGGGAGGUGUUUGACUGGAUCCUGGACCAGGGCUACUACUCGGAGCGAGACACAAGCAACGUGGUACGGCAAGUCCUGGAGGCCGUGGCCUAUUUGCACUCACUCAAGAUCGUGCACAGGAAUCUCAAGCUGGAGAACCUGGUUUACUACAACCGGCUGAAGAACUCGAAGAUUGUCAUCAGUGACUUCCAUCUGGCUAAGCUAGAAAAUGGCCUCAUCAAGGAGCCCUGUGGGACCCCCGAGUAUCUGGCCCCAGAAGUGGUAGGCCGGCAGCGGUAUGGACGCCCUGUGGACUGCUGGGCCAUUGGAGUCAUCAUGUACAUCCUGCUUUCAGGCAACCCACCUUUCUAUGAGGAGGUGGAAGAAGAUGAUUAUGAGAACCAUGAUAAGAAUCUCUUCCGCAAGAUCCUGGCUGGUGACUAUGAGUUUGACUCUCCAUAUUGGGAUGAUAUUUCGCAGGCAGCCAAAGACUUGGUCACAAGGCUGAUGGAGGUGGAGCAAGACCAGCGGAUCACUGCA